rnacentral:rRNA from 1 species
UACGGAGGGUGCGAGCGUUGUUCGGAAUCACUGGGCGUAAAGCGCGUGUAGGCGGCCCACUAAGUCUGAUGUGAAAGCCCGGGGCUCACCCCCGGAAGUGCAUUGGAAACUGGUGGACUCGAGUCCCGGAGAGGAGAGUGGAAUUCCUGGUGUAGCGGUGAAAUGCGUAGAUAUCAGGAGGAACACCGGUGGCGAAGGCGGCCAACUGGACCAUUACUGACGCUGAGGCGCGAAAGCGUGGGGAGCAAACAGG